rfam:Dipodomys ordii contig_33618, whole genome shotgun sequence.
GUGAAGGUAGCUCAGUGGUAGAGUACCUGCCUUGCAUGCAUGAGGCCCUGGGUUCGAUUCCUCAGCACCACA